rnacentral:lncRNA from 1 species
CACGCAGGGGUUGACACCCAUGAGCACUGGUCCUUCAGGCUGAGUUCUAUGGGAAAGGUGAUGCAUUUUCCAGUCAAUCCCAGGCCCUCAAGUUCUUUUGGCCAUUAAAGGAUUACAAGAACUCCCCAACUUCUGGUGGCCUUUGGUCCAACGCAGGUACUCCAGGGAUUUCCUGCGAUGGAGCAGUUGGGUUUCCCUCACAGGAAAAAAGAAGUUAACUGAAAAGAGAUCUUCGUCCCAAUCGCUGUGAGAAGCAACUCUGACUUAGCUCCAAAGGAGUUGCCGUUGCUGCCUUUGAACCUGGCCCAGAGGUGACCCCUCUCCAGCAGGCUACAUCCUCUCUCAUGGGAUGGUAAGGCCUCAGAAACUGUGGCUGAAGGAGCGAACAAAUGAAUGGAUCCCAUGGAAAUUCUGGAAUGAAUGAAUCCCAUGGAAAUCCCGUGGGAGACUUCAAACAUGUGCAGAAGUGAACAGAAUAGUGGA